GUAGUCCACGCCGUAAACGAUGAGUACUAGGUGUAGGAGGUAUCGACCCCUUCUGUGCCGCAGUAAACACAAUAAGUACUCCGCCUGGGAAGUACGAUCGCAAGAUUAAAACUCAAAGGAAUUGACGGGGGCCCGCACAAGCAGCGGAGCAUGUGGUUUAAUUCGAAGCAACGCGAAGAACCUUACCUGGACUUGACAUCCCCUGCAUAUCUUAGAGAUAAGAGAAGCCCUUCGGGGCAGGGAGACAGGUGGUGCAUGGUUGUCGUCAGCUCGUGUCGUGAGAUGUUAGGUUAAGUCCUGCAACGAGCGCAACCCCUAUUGUUAGUUGCUAGCAGUAAGAUGAGCACUCUAACGAGACAGCCGCGGUUAACGCGGA
rnacentral:rRNA from 1 species